rnacentral:rRNA from 1 species
AAUCAACGCUGGCGGCGUGCCUAACACAUGCAAGUCGAACGAUUAAAGCCCUUUCGGGGGUGUAUAGAGUGGCGUACGGGUGAGUAACACGUGGGUAAUCUACCUUUGGGUGGGGGAAGUAAACUCAGGGAAACGUUGAGCUAAUACCGCAUAAUGCAGCGGCUCGACAUCGAGACAGUUGUUAAAGAUUUAUCGCCUGAAGAGGAGCCUGCGCCUGAUUAGCUAGUUGGUGGGGUAANGGCUUACCAAGGCUACGAUCAGUAGCUGGUCUGAGAGGACGGCCAGCCACAAUGGCACUGAAACACGGGCCAUACUCCUACGGGAGGCAGCAGUGGGGUAAUUUUGCGCAAUAGGGCGAAAGCCCGACGCAGCAACGCCGCGUGAAGGAUGAAAU